GCGGACGUGGUGCAUGGUGCACUGCCUUAUUUUAUGAGCAUGUCCAAAAGAAGUCUUGAAGGCUGUCGGGGUUCGACUCCCUGCGUCCGCA